AGAGAGUGUGAUUGACACCACCUCACACAACGAUCGUCUACUAGACCCCUCUUCAAGGCCACGUCACCCGAGGGUUGCCACAGUUGGAGCCAAGUUUCCAGAAUGUGACGGUUCAGAGGACAAAUCAUGUCAAAGCCACAGCAGGUGUGACUAGUGUCCCGAGAGAUGGGACAUUUUGGCAGAGGCCAGCCCCCCUCCACGUCAAUGUUCUCUUUGAGGGGUUACCAUGGAGCACCCAGGCCCUGAUGCAAAGGAGAGCGUCAUGGCAGCGAGAGACCUGAGUGGGCCAAAGCCGCUCACCUGCAGUGGAGGGGAGGUGGACAGAGAGCAGAUCUCAGGAUGAGGGAGUGUGAAGCCCUGCUGCCACCAGCUUUAUUCUCCAGAUGGAAACUGAUGGUAGAGGGUGAUAUGAAGAAGUUGAACCACGCUGAAGGAGCUGCUGGUACUGUUAUUUCUCAUCUUGAUAUAAUAAAUGAGUGUU